rnacentral:rRNA from 1 species
CUACGGGUCGCACCAGUGGGGAAUAUUGGGCAAUGGGCGCAAGCCUGACCCAGCAACGCCGCGUGAGGGAAGAAUGUCUUCGGAUUGUAAACCUCUGUCCUUGGGGACGAAAAAAAUGACGGUACCCAAGGAGGAAGCUCCGGCUAACUACGUGCCAGCAGCCGCGGUAAUACGUAGGGAGCAAGCGUUGUCCGGAAUUAUUGGGCGUAAAGGGUGCGUAGGCGGCGCUGUAAGUCAGAUGUGAAAUCCCCGGGCUUAACUCGGGAGUUGCAUUUGAAACUACAGUGCUUGAGUAAAGAAGGGGUAAGUGGAAUUCCUAGUGUAGCGGUGGAAUGCGUAGAUAUUAGGAGGAACACCAGUGGCGAAGGCGACUUACUGGUCUUUUACUGACGCUGAGGCACGAAAGCGUGGGGAGCAAACAGGAUUAGAUACCCGUGUAGUC